rnacentral:rRNA from 1 species
UGGGGGAUAUUGCACAAUGGGCGAAAGCCUGAUGCAGCGACGCCGCGUGGGGGAUGAAGGCUUUCGGGUUGUAAACCUCUUUCGCUAUCGAACAAGGCCCGCUUAGGGUGGGUUGAGGGUAGGUGGAGAAGAAGCGCCGGCUAACUACGUGCCAGCAGCCGCGGUAAUACGUAGGUGGCAAGCGUUGUCCGGAUUUAUUGGGCGUAAAGCGAGCGCAGGCGGUUUCUUAAGUCUGAUGUGAAAGCCCCCGGCUCAACCGGGGAGGGUCAUUGGAAACUGGGAGACUUGAGUGCAGAAGAGGAGAGUGGAAUUCCAUGUGUAGCGGUGAAAUGCGUAGAUAUAUGGAGGAACACCAGUGGCGAAGGCGGCUCUCUGGUCUGUAACUGACGCUGAGGCUCGAAAGCGUGGGGAGCAAACAGG